rnacentral:rRNA from 1 species
GACAGAGGCCCCAAGCGUUAGGCGGAAUCACUGGGCUUAAAGCGUGUGUAGGCGGAUCGUUAAGUGUCUUGUGAAAUCCCACGGCUCACCCGUGGAACUGCUGGGCAUACUGGCGAUCUUGGGCCAACUAGGGGGGCAACUGGAACAAGCGGUGGAGCGGUGAAAUGCGUAGAUAUCGCUUGGAACGCCAAAGGUGAAAAACAGGUGCUGGGGGUGUGCCGACGCUGAGACACGAAAGCCAGGGGGGAGCAAACGGG